AUUGAACGCUGGCGGCAUGCCUUACACAUGCAAGUCGAACGGCAGCACGGGAGCAAUCCUGGCGGCGAGUGGCGAACGGGUGAGUAAUGUAUCGGAACGUGCCCCGUCGUGGGGGAUAACGUAGCGAAAGCUACGCUAAUACCGCAUACGAUCUAUGGAUGAAAGCGGGGGAUCGCAAGACCUCGCGCGAUUGGAGCGGCCGAUAUCAGAUUAGGUAGUUGGUGGGGUAAAGGCUCACCAAGGCGACGAUCUCUAGCUGGUCUGAGAGGACGACCAGCCACACUGGGACUGAGACACGGCCCAGACUCCUACGGGAGGCAGCAGUGGGGAAUUUUGGACAAUGGGCGAAAGCCUGAUCCAGCAAUGCCGCGUGCAGGAUGAAGGCCUUCGGGUUGUAAACUGCUUUUGUACGGGACGAAACGGCGAACUCUAAUACAGUUUGCUAAUGACGGUACCGUAAGAAGAAGCACUGGCUAACUACGUGCCAGCCGCCGCCGUAA
rnacentral:rRNA from 1 species